rnacentral:lncRNA from 1 species
UGGGAGACUGGUAUUACGACAGGAGUCCAUUCCAAAAGAUUGAUUGCCCUUACCCCUGCAACCCAUUGCCAGAGAGUUGCUUUUGAAUGGACCUAUUAAUGUAAUGUACACACACAUAAAAUUACAGAUCUUGUGUCAAAGCAGAACAAAAUUUAAGAGUCAAGAUCAUUGAGUAGUCAUCAAUGAGCUUGACUGAGUGAGAAUAAAAUGGAUAAAGAGUAUAUGAUUGAUUGAUCAAGUCAAUGAAAUAAUUAAACAAAGGCAAACCACUGCACUCAUGUGCUGGGUGUCUUCUAUCAUUUUCUUAUGUAAUUUAUUGUUAGAACUUCAGUGAAAUAAAUAUUCAUUACUUGUUGUUGGAUUGUUUGCAGUAGAAGAUCAAUUAUUUAGAAAUCAUUUUGUUUAAUUUAGUGAGGGAGAAUGUCAAUUUGUCCCCUUCUGUAAUUAAUAUAUACCAUUUAUCCUCAUAUUGUUUUUAUAAUAUUCAAUAACCCUGAUAGCAUAAGUUCACAAUAUUGUCAUUAUUUUCAAAUACAUUUAUAUUUAUAUUUAUUAUAGAUUAAAUAAAUCGCAUAAAUAGAAAUUAAAAUGAAAAAAAUUAACUAUUAAAAACAAGAAAUAUAUAUUUUGAUAUGAACAAAAAUAAUAAUUUUUUUGCUUGUACCUUUUGAUUUUGUAAAAGUUUUCUUAUAAUAAAUAUUUUAAAAUAUUUUAAAAUUAAAUGUAAAAACUUCAAGAAAAAUAUUUUAUUAUUUAUUUUAUAAUAAUUUUUUAUUUAUCAUCAAGUUUUCUUAUAAUUAUUUUUUUAUCAUUUUAUAAUAAUUUUUGUUAUAUAUUUUUCUAUAAGAAACUGAUUAUAAAAUAAAAAAGUACAAGGAAAUAUUUUAUUAUUAGUUUUUUUCACAUCAAAACAUAUAUUUCUUAUUUUUAAUAGUUAAUUUUUUUCAUUCAUGUGAUUUAUUUUGUCUAUAAUAAACAUAAAUAAAAAUGUAUUUGAAAAUAAAGACAAUAUUGUAAACUUAUACUGUAAGGCAGUUUAUUGGCUAUUAUAAAAACAGUAGAGGAUAAAUAAUAUAUAUUUAUUACAGUAGAGAGGAAAUUGAUAAUCUCCCAAUUUAGUAAUGUCUUAAGAACCUCCUUUUUCCUUUUAACCUUUCAUAGUAAUGGACUAUUAUGUGAAUGCAUAGUUAUUUUUUAUUGCAUAAAUACCAAGUUUAAUUAAAGCUAAUAUUAUAAAAAUAAAAUGCUCUUGGAUCUUGGCAACUUUUUUUCCUUAAAAAAAUACACUAAUUAUUUAUUUUUUUAAAAUUAACUACUCUAAAAUUUUUUAUAAUUCCAGAAGUAUUUUAUGCAAUCAAUAAAAUAAGGAAAAUUGUCAUUGCCCCACCGUCCUUUUACCUUUUGUUCAGUUAAGCACACAAAAUUUUAACAUGUUCUUUGCACAAUCUUUCUUUUUAAAUUUGUAUCAAUUAGCCACUUUUACACUAACACCGUUGAAUAAUUUAAACGAAAUAAUAAUUUUACCCCUAAAUAAAUUAAAAGACCAUUUUAUCUAAUUUCUGGAUUGUCAUUUCGUUUAAAUUAUUCAACGGUGUUAGUGCAAAAAUGACUAAUUUAUACAAAUUUUAAAAGAAAGGUGGUGCAAAGAACAUGUUAAAAUUUUGUAGCGGUUAAAUGAACAUAAGGUAAAAUAAAUGUGGUGUAAUGAUAAAUUUCCAUAAAUAAAUAGUAAAAUAAAUGUGGUGUAAUGAUAAUUUUUCAUUAAAAAAAUAGUAUUUUUUUUGGGGAAAGGAACAAAUAAUAUUUUUUGAACAAAAAAAUUCAUCAAUUUGAAGUUCAAAUCAAAAUAACACUAAAAGUUCACUCUUCAUGUCUUUAAGAACAUAGAUCAAUUAUAUUACACCCCAACAUUUGAGUUCAUACUCCCAAAUAUCCCCCCCAAAAAAAAAUCAUGUGAUAGACAUCUAUCCAUAUCUUAAAUUUCAUCUUAAAUGAUGUGUCAUUCAGAAAAUUAAUUUUUUAUAAUAAUUAAAAAAUUAAUUUUUAUAAUAAAAAACCUUUCAAUAAUUAAAAAGAAAAUACCAAGAAACUCCAGCUCUUGACAUGAGCCAUAAAAAAAAAAUUAUAAUGUGCCGUCAAGAUACAUAUCUUAUUGGGUUUAAAAAUGGAGUGACCUGAUUUGUAGACGGUCCAAAUUUGAAGACGGUCCAUCCUUGGCCCACCCCACAAUUUCACCAUUGCAUACUUACAUUGACAAUGAAUACCCUUCUCUCGGGGUUUUUAAUUAAAGAUGCCCAAAAAAUGGGAUAUUUAAUUAAAUAUAUCUUAUGGUUGAAAAUUAUUCAUAUAUUUUUUUAUACAGUACAUUAUCUCAAAUAUCCUUAAAGAAAAAUAUGAAACACAUAUAAAAUAUAAAACACAUAAUUAAAGAUGCCCUAAAAAUGGGGUAUUUAGUUAAAUACCGACUAUUAUCGUGUAUUUAAAUUAAGUAUUCCUUGAAUUAUGUGAUCAUCCUAUUAUAUCACAUAAAUUGUACAAAACUAUCUUAUUGUCUUUGAAUAUUACACUUAACAAAAAAUAAUUUAACACUAUCAGUUGGAAAUACCUGACUGUAAUCUUGUGUAUAUGAAAAUACCUAAUUAUAGUUGUGUACCUAUAAAAAUACCUGACUGUAUUAAUGUAUUUUAGCCGCUCAUUCCUUCAAUAUAUAUGAACACCCUGAUAUAUAACAAACAUUAUACAAAACUAUCUUCUUUCUCAAUAAUAUACUUAACCAAAAAAAAAAGUGAAUACUGAUGUAAAAUCAUCUUUAAUGAUAUCAAAUGUCAACAACAUCCCCAUUGCAACUAUUACAUCUCAUGAUAACUAAUCAAAAAAAUGCCAAAAUCACAACAAUAGAGUUUUUAAGGGUAUGACACUAUGUAGUUGGUUUUAACGACAUGUGUCCAAAUAAUUUGACAGCCAAUGCUUUUCGAAAUUGUUUAACAUUAUCCUAUUGACAAUAUUUUUUGCCGUCAAGGCCAUGGGUUAGGACCUCCAAGUACUACAACAAAAAUGCUUCACAAUCACUACUAAUAAAAUUCAUAUACAUCAAUAAUAAAAUCACCAUUCUUAUUGAAAUAUAUAUAUAUAUGAUGUACUCAAUUGCAUCCCUUGAUUUUAUUGCGGGAUAUUACGUACUCACUAGGAUGAUCUUUAAUUAUGUCUUCCACUACAUCUAGUGAUAAUCGAUUAGAAGUCUUUGCUUUGAAGUAUUCAGAUUCCUUAAUUUUCAGUUCCAUUUAUAAACAUAAAAUAUUUUAAUUAUAAUAUAAAACGACUGAAAAGUUGCAUAAUAAUAUAUUCUAAACCAAUAAAAAAAAAUUACAUGACACACCAGUCGAGUAAAGCAAUCAUUACACGACUAUUGUCGAGCAAAACAUUCAUUACAUGACUAUAGCCGAGUAAAGUAUUCAUUACAUGAUUAUAGUCGAGUAAAGCAUUCAUUACACGACUACAACAAGCAUCAAAUAUGUUUUGACUUCUAUAUUUCCUUGGAUUUAAAUAAUUUCAUGAUAAAACAUAAUGCUUACAACAUAAAACUAAAUAAAAGCUAAAUAUGUUUGGACUUCUAUAUCUCCUUGGAUUCAAAUCUCUGUACAUAAUUUUAAGUGAAUGAUAGUAUGGAAAAGAAUUUACUUUAAUAAGGCUUGUCAAUGAAUAGAGAGAAUGAAAAUUUUGUUUAUUAUAAAAAAUAUAUUGAUGGACCAUUAAAUAGCCAAAUGGACAUUUAAUCAUUAACAUAUUAUUUGAAAUCCAUUCAAUAUGGGUAAGAAAUAACUAGAAUUGUAAAUUGAAGAUUCUAUAGCAAAUAAUAAAGAAAACCCAAAUUGCGACAAAAUGAAUGCAUACAGAGCUGAAGAAAAUUAAUAUAUAAUUCCCACGGAUGAAGUCCAGCUACAAACAACAAAUAAAAUUAAACGCAUAUCUAAUAGAUAAAUCAGUGUAGCCAUAACCGAGUAGUCACAAGGAUAAUAUUUGCUCUAUCCAAUUCCCUCUGAAUAUUUAAUUAGGAACUCCUAUAACCAUUACAAGGAGAGUAAGCUCCCUUGAAAUCACUCUCUUCAAUUUCAACUCCACAAGUUCAAGAAGCUUCAUUACAUGAAUCAGGAAGAAACAUUAUCAGCAAGCAUGCAAGUGAAACAAAUAACUCGGCUAACUACAACAAUGACCAAAAUCACGUGAGCAAUUUUUUUUUUAAACCCUAAUGCAUAUAAACCCAACAAUUAUGAAUCCUAAAUCCUCUUUAUGAAGUAAAAAUUAAGUGUAAAUGUGGUAAAUAACCUUUAAUUCGGUGAAUUUCCGGCCUAUAGUUUGGUGAAUUUCCAAUGAAAGUAGCGGAUUUGUGGUGUUAGAACCAGCAGCAGAAGUAUCCUGGGCGUUGAAAUAUUAGAUUUUGAAUUGCUGUAAUUUUGUAAUUGCACAUUGAAAAAAAGCAUAUAUGAGAACAUUUUAAUUAUGAGGGUGUAUUUAGGUAAAUACCCUACUUUUGGGGUAAGGCGUGGACAAAUUCCUGCUUCUCUCUCAAUCUCAAAAACACAACCUUCGCCCUUCGGUUGCGGUUGCAGUGUUAAUGGAUUGGAGUUUUGUACACAAAACUUGGGAAAAAUGGGCUUCUACCAGUGUUGGCUCUUCCGGUAAUGUACCCUCCAAGAACCCCCUCGGGCUUUUCAUUAUUUUAGUUAUUACCACGUUAGAUAUAUUAGAUUUAUAAUUUAUAUAAUAAAAGGCUGCUGAUCAUGCCAGUGCAAGAGCUAUAGAGUAAGCAGCCAUUGAUUUUUGUUUCUAAAUUUUGCUUGUAGGUGAGCCCUUGAAGGCGGCUUUGCUUAUCAACCAGGACCCCACUGGUCCCUCUCGUUUGUUAUCCACUAUGUCAGCUUCGUGCUUUUUUUUUUUUUUAAUAUAUAUUUUAAAUACCCUUUUAUAUAUAUGUUGUUCUGUUCAUAAGCAGUGAAAUUUUGAAGCUUCGUUAUGGUUUGUGCAGUGCAGAACAAGAAAGGUAUCAAGGCCGACGCGAUUGACUUGACUGAAUUUGUUGAUUUUGUCAAACUCAAUAAACUUCAGACUGACUGCUUUGUUAUUGGACAAAAAACCAAUGCAAGCUAUUCGUGUCUCCUUUACAUUUGUGAGUGAAAUUCAAUUGUUGGACUUGAAUUUUGCGGUGAAUUAUUUAUUAUUGCUAGAGUUGCUAGUAAGUUGAUCGUAAUGGUUUUAUCAUAUUGAUGACAAUUGACGCAGACGUAGUUACCUCGAUUCAUGAGAAUAUGACAAUUUUUAUAAGAGGAAAAGAGAGAGUCGUUCUCUUAAUCAAGAAAAAUACCAUUAAAUUUAGAAUAUAAAAAUUAAUGGCUGAAAAAUUAACAUGUGCGUGAUCGGUCAAAUAUUCUAAAUCCUUGAAAUUAAAAUAACUUGAAAAAUUAAUAUUGAAAAAAAAUAAAUGAAAUUGUCACUUUCGAUCACAUAAUCAAUGAAAAUCAGGAUAUAAUCAACACCUAUUUAUUUUAUUUCUAAAUUAUGACUUUUUCAUUAUUAUUCAAAGAAGGGAGUUUUUCUUUAAAAAACUCUCACCAUAAUAUAAGUGGCUUAAACCUUUUUUUUUGUUUUGAAAUAUAAAUUAACUUAAAAGCAAACAAGUAGUAAAAUUAUCUUUUAAGAAGGCUUUAUAUAUGCAGAGAGGACUAGUCCACCUAUGUCAAUUCUUCCAAGUGAGUGAAAUUGUGUGACUUUAUUUAAUUAGAAGGAGCAACAACUUCAAUCUCUAUUUAUACGUCAUUAUCCUUUAGCUAUAUUUGUGCGACUUUAUUUAUACGUAGGGAAAUGAGUUAACAAGUUAUAUUUUCCAAGCACCAAGGUAAAUUACUCCUUAGGUCAUUAUGGUCAAUAAAUGAGUCUUCAUUUUACAAUUAAUAAAUGUAUAAAGUAUUUGAACUAAUUAAUAGUAUAGUAUUAUAUAUGUUAAAUUCUUCAAAAAGUAAGAUAGAAUGUAUACUUGAUGUUUGAGGGAAAAAUAGGAAAGGCAAUAGAGCGCCACGUGUUAACCAAUGGAAUGAUUUCAGCACAAUCGGAGGGUACCCUGCACAAUCCGAGGUGCCCGGCAUGACUUGAGGAACACCGUGUCAUGCUAAUCCCCAAAAACACUCACACUCCAAAAAAUAGGUUUUCUUCAACCUUAAACCCUAAUUUACAGAGGGCUAGCUAGCUCUCUUUGCCAUAAAAGCUUGAGUUUGCUAACUUGAGCGUCGGAGUGUGAACGCCGGGGUACCCCGGCUUCACCUCUAACCUCUAUUUCAUUGUUUUGCAGGCGUGAAGCUCAUUUUGAAGGACACCUCUCUCAUCUCUGACCUUCCACCAUUGUUACCACUCUCUCUCCCAUUCUCACUUCCUCCGAAUUUCAGAUACACCGCACCGCACACAAUAAACUAGUGAGGUACCCCAUCUCCCCCAAAAAUAUAAAUUCAUUGUUCAAGAUUGAUUUUGGAUUUUCCUACCCCAAAACAGUUGAAAACAAUUGGCGCCGUCUGUGGGGAACUCGCACAAAAAGCCUCCUCCGCGGUUACCAAACUAGUUGUUGUGUGUACUCCAAUACAUGGCACCUAACGUACCUCCCGAAUGUUUAAUGGGGGAUCCUACAAGGAUGAGAGAUGACAUCAGCAGUGAAGGUAAUGAUCCCGCAAGGAGGGUAGCCCGCAUUAACAAGGGCAAGGGUAUCAAGCAAUCGACGGGUGUUCGCCAAGAGAAGGAACCUAUUUCGUACAAGCGUUUUGAGGAUCUCGCCCACGCAAUACUUAGGGCGGUCGGAUCUCGGUCACCCGAAAGUUCACUUCCACCAGUGACGCUAGAAGCUCCACCACCUCAAACGGACGAUCAAGCUAUAGUCAGAAGAGGGGUACCCGAGGCCAGCAAGCCAAGGCAUAGGCCUUCGGGUACCCGUUCUAAGUUUCAAACCGUGGGCUCCCGAGACGAGCGUUCCACCGCCUCUUGCAAUUCCCGCAGCAGCCAGGGUACGAGGCGUGCAAAGCAUACCCACGAGGAUCUCCGUGAGAAGUUAAACGCCAAAAGGGCUUCUCAAACGGCGGCGACAUCAUCGGGUACCCCACGAACUUGUGGAAAAAAUGGAGAAUCUGGAAGCCCAAGUGAAGCUCCUCUCCGAAAAGCAAAACAUCACAGCUGCUCUAACGCCAAUGACCUACCAAUCGCCAUUCACUAUGGAGAUUCGGAAGGCAGCUCUCCCCGAGGUGUUCGCCAUGCCUCAGAUACCCCAAUACUCGGGUACCACUGAUCCCUCGGAGCAUGCUGAGCUAUACCGCGACCAAAUGCUUAUCAAGGGUGUAGAUGAGAGCGCCAUGUGUAGGAUGUUUACACACACACUCACGGGCCCCGCGAAGUCGUGGUUUCGGUCUUUGAAAGCGGGUAGCAUAUCUUCCCUACACCAAUUGCUAUCCGAAUUUACUAAAGAGUUUUCCUACGCCUCCACUCAAGAUAGGGUAGCCUCCAAACUUGCCUUUAUCAAGCAAGGGGAAGCCGAGCCUUUGGCGGAGUACGUGAGUCGUUUCCACCAAGAGGUGCUGCGAACCGGAGCAUUUGGAAACCAAUACACAUUGACCCAUUUUGAGAAAAAUUUGCGGUUGGGCAAGUUAUGGCGUUCUUUUCAAAAGAAGCGCCCACUUUCAUAUGGGGAAGCCCGUUCCCGGGCGUUGCAGCAGGUGGAGAUGGACGAGAAAUGUCAAUUGAAGCGCCAAGAAGAUAAGGCCGAUGUUACAAAGAACAAGGAGAAGCCCAAGAGGGUGGAGGCCCCAAUACCGCGGGUACCCCGAGCACGGAGCCCUCCACGGGCUGCCUUGCGGGGACGAGGGUAUAACCCUCAGGGUGCCUCAAGGGUACCCCAACCUCCAAGAUCGCCACCAUCGAAUCAGCGAGAGCCACCGCCAAGGCCUCGGUACGAAUCUUACCACCCACUGAAUCGAUCCCCAGAGCAGAUCUUCUACCAUAUUCGGGAUAGCGGCCUCCUCUGUCCUCCUAAGCCAAUGAAGAAGUACCCCAACAUGAAGCGUAGCCUGAAGUAUUGCGAGUUCCAUGAAGACUUUGGUCACAGCACAGCCGAGUGCUUCACCUUACGAGAAGAAAUUGAAUCUUUGAUUCUCAGCGGGUACCUCAAAGAAUUUGUUGCUGGCAUGAGAGAAGCUCGGAAAUCUGCGGAACAUGAUAAAGGCAAGCGGGUAGCUGAUGGCAGUCCCGAACGAGAGGUACCCCCUGGACACAAGAAAGACGUGUAUGUCCGAAUGAUCAUGGGCGGACCGACUUUAGCGGGCCAAUCUAGGAGGGCUAUCAAAGGCUAUAGUAGAUCGUUGUCGAUAACCACCAAUAUUGGCAGAGAAGUCAACUUUAAUGAAUGGGGUACACCGAAGGUACCCCACCAUCCCCCGCCUAUCAUUUUUACAGAAAAAGAUGCGGAGGGCAUCUCGUACCCCCACGACGAUGCCUUCGUAAUCACGUUGAAGGUUGCCACUGGUAAGGUAGCAAGAACUCUCGUAGAUACCGGCAGCUCCGUUGACAUCAUUUUCAAAAGCACCUUAGAUCAACUAUUGAUUGAGUCGCCAAAGAUCACCCCCUAUGCUACGCUUCUUAUUGGGUUCGCUGGAGAUAUGGUUAUACCAAAGGGCAUCAUUACGCUGCCCGUUACAUUUGGUAAGGUACCUCACCGUGUUGUUCACAUGAUUGAUUUUCUUAUUGUAGAUCACCCGGGUGCCUACAAUAUUAUAUUGGGUAGGCCGUUCUUAGUAGCAACUAAAGCGGUGGUAUCCAUGCACUACCACGCCAUGAAAGUCCCGGCCGCCCAAGAAGUUAUCACCAUUAAAGGGGACCAGCAAUCGGCUCGUGGAUGUUAUUCCGUGGCCUCCAAAGUUACUUACCAAAUAGCUUCCGAUCCACCAAUGAAGGGGUACCCCAGCGGCAGCCAGCCCACACCUUCCCCUUCAAAGCGAGCACUUGCUAGACAGCGGAGAGCAGUACUCAAAAAAUCUCCUCAGGUAGCCCACCCACGAAAACAAUUGGAGUCUUCACCAAUGGGGGUAGAAGCAGUUACGGGGGAUAGCUCGAGGGUACCCCACAGGGACCAGGAGGAGCCUAGAUGUGAAGUUGAGGCACCUUUGGAUCCUCGAAUAUUGAAAGAUAAAAAGCGGGGUACCCUAGUUGAAGACCUUAUUUCAGUCUCGAUUUGUGCCACCGACCCAACAAAGACAGUGAAAGUAGGCUCCAACCUCUCGGAGGAACAAAGAGAGAAGCUCAUCACAUUCCUACGCGAGCACCACGAUGUAUUCGCUUGGUCCUACUCGGAUAUGCCGGGUAUCCCACCUUCCCUCUCUUGUCACAAACUCAAUGUCAGCCCGCAUAAUAAACCGGUCAAACAGAAGCGUCGCGCCUUCAACCAAGAGAGGUAUGAUGCAAUUGAACAAGAGGUAGACCGCCUAUUAGCAGCAAGGUUUAUCCGGGAAGCAGUGUACCCUGAUUGGGUAUCCAACGUUGUUCUAGUCAAGAAAUCAAACGGAAAGUGGCGCAUGUGUGUGGACUUCACUGAUUUGAACAAGUCCUGCCCCAAGGAUAGCUUCCCGCUUCCUCAGGUGGACCAGCUGGUUGAUGCAACAGCGGGGCAUGAGAUGCUUAGUUUUAUGGACGCCUUCUCCGGGUACAACCAAAUUCCAAUGUAUGAACCCGAUCAAGAGAAAACGGCUUUCAUCACCAAUCGUGGAUUAUACUGUUAUAAGGUUAUGCCGUUCGGUUUGAAGAAUGCCGGGGCUACCUAUCAACGGCUGGUGAACAAAAUUUUCAAGGAACAAAUCAGGCGCACCAUGGAGGUGUACAUAGACGAUAUGAUCACCAAAUCGGUGCAUGCGGGGGAACACUUGGGGCACCUCAGAGAUACCUUUACCGUUUUGAGAAAACACCAUAUGCGGCUUAACCCUGAAAAGUGUGCAUUCGGGGUCACCUCGGGAAAAUUUCUUGGGUUCAUGGUACAACAGCGGGGGAUUGAAGCCAACCCCGAUAAAAUUCGCGCGGUUCUUGACAUGAAAUCGCCAAGCACCAUUAAGGAGGUUCAAAGUUUGGCGGGCCGGGUAGCUGCUCUGAGCCACUUCAUCUCCAAGGCUACUGACCGGUGUAAGCCUUUUUUCAAAGCUUUGAAGACUGGCAAGAAGCUCCAGUGGACACCCGAUUGCGAAGAGGCUUUCCAAGAACUGAAGUGGUACCUCGUGAAUGCUCCACUACUUGCCAAACCUGAGCCGGGAGAGGUGCUUUUGUUGUAUCUCGCCGUAUCUGAGCAUGCCACCAGCUCUGUGUUACUCCGAGAGGAUGAUAAUGGGGUACAACGACCUAUUUACUACACUAGUAAGGCUAUGGUUGAUGCCGAAAAGAGGUACCCCACCUCUGAGAAGAUCAUUUUGGCAUUGGUGGUCUCCGCACGGAAGCUCAGACCAUAUUUUCAGGCUCACACCAUUGCGGCCGUCACCAACCUUCCCCUCCGGCAAAUCCUCCAGAAGUUAGACAUGUCCGGAAGGCUUCUCCGAUGGUCCCUCGAAUUAAACGAGUUCGACAUCAUCUUCAAGCCUCGUUUGGCUAUUAAAGCACAAGCCAUUACUGAUUUUAUUGCGGAAUUCGCCAAUGACUCAAGUGGUGAAGGUGACUUGAGAUACCUGUUAGAUACCUCACCCACCGAUGAAGGGGGGCAGGUCUGGGAAAUAUAUGUAGACGGUUCCUCUAACUCACAUGGAAGUGGUGCAGGAGUUAUUAUAAUCGACCCGAAUAAGGUGAAAAUAUGUUACGCCUUGCAAUUUGGAUUCAAGGCUUCAAACAACGAAGCCGAAUACGAGGCCAUCAUAGCGGGGUUGAGGAUGUCGAAGGCUUUGGGAGCAAAAAGGGUACACGUCAAGAGUGACUCCCAGUUGGUGGUAAGCCAAAUUACCGCACAAUAUCAAGCGAAAGAGGAAAACAUGAAAGGGUACCUCGGGAAAACCAGAGAGUUGAUGUCCCAAUUUUGUGAGGUUAAGGUGGAAAGGGUACCCCGACUGGAGAAUAGCGAAGCCGACACCCUGGCGAAAAUGGCAUCCCUUGGGGGUAGCCCAGUCAUCUGGUCCCAUCACAACAGAACAUAUACCCGCACCCAGUGUCGGUCUCCCAGAGCCAUUGGAAGUAGGAUCGCUGUCCAACGAGGUGCUUUGGAUGGAGCCUAUCAUAAGGUACCUCAAGGACGGAGACCUCCCCUCAGAUAAAAGUGAAGCAAGGAGAUUAAAGUAUAAAGUCGCCCGGUAUUGCCUGAUCCAGGAUACCCUAUACAGAAGAGGUUUCACUCUUCCUUACCUUAAAUGCUUGGGAAGCGACGAGGCCGAGUAUGUCAUGAGGGAGAUACAUGAGGGGAUUUGUGGCAAUCACUAUGGAGCACAAUCAUUGGCGCAAAAAGCCCUCCGUCAGGGGUACUACUGGCCAACUAUACGGGAAGAUGCCAAGAAUAUGGUACGAAACUGUGACAAAUGCCAAAGGUUCGCCAGGGUACCCCACCUACAAAAUGGGCGGAAGCAGAGCCACUAACAAGCAUCACAGAAAGGAAAACCACCGAAUUCAUUUGGAAAAACCUCAUUUGCAGAUUUGGAAUCCCCUAUGCAAUUGUCAGUGAUAAUGGUAAGCAAUUCGAUAAUGAAAAAUUUCGAAGCUUUUGUUCGGAGUUGGGGAUAACCAACCGAUUUGCUACACCUACUCACCCCCAAUCUAAUGGGCAAGUCGAAGCCGUUAACAAGAUUAUCAAAGGUAUCCUGAAGAAGAAGCUAGAAGAAAGAAAAGGAGCAUGGGUAGACGAGCUACCUGGGGUACUGUGGGCGUACCGAACUACUCAAAACACCUCCACCAGGGAGACCCCGUUUUCCCUCGCAUUCGGUGUUGACGCAGUGAUUCCAGCAGAAAUUGGGGUACCCUCUCACAGGGUUGAAUACUUUGAUGAGGCCGAGAACACCUCCUUGGUUGCUUCAAACCUUGAUUUAGUGGCUGAAAAAAGAGCUAGAGCAGAACUGAGGACAACCAUAUAUCAGCAUCGCAUUUCGGGUCUAUACGAAAAAAGGGUACGCCCUCGGUCAUUCAAGAAAGGAGACUUGGUCUUGAGAAGGGUAACUCAGAACACUAGGGUACCCUGCGAAGGCGCUUUUGGGGCAAAUUGGGAAGGACCUUACCGCAUCGACAAACCCGUUGGGACAGGUGCAUACAGGCUACUCCACAUGGAUGGCACAAUUGUGAGGCACCCCUGGAACGCUGCAAUGCUACGGAAAUAUUACUAAAGGACAGUGUCUCAACCUUUAGUCUUUUGCUGUUAUUUGCUUUCUUUAAUGUUUUUGUGUGGUAGGCCAAAUAGGGUACCCCAAAUGCCCUAUGUUGGUCAGUUGCAACUUUAGAGUUUCUUUAAUUGUCAAAUGAAAGGGAUAGGAGGUCUUGCGGUCUCCCAUUCUCCUCAGGGUAACAAAGCUAAGUCAUGUAUUGAUCAACGCUUUCGUUAUCUAUAAAUGCAUGUUCUUUCUCAACAAAUAUAAUGUGGGUUCUUUAUUUAUUUUUCUCUACUUCGAUCUUAGAGUGCGGAUUAUAUUCAUUUAUCGCCAUUAAUAUACCCUCGCAUCUGGUAAUAUGCAAUUCUCACCAUACGUUUGUCAAUUAUGACUAACAUAUCGCAGGACCAGCCAGGGUACCUGAUAUGCCCAGAUCGUGACGAUCUAUGUAAACCCAAGAUGGGCAACGGAGGGAACAGCCCGGGGGUAGCCUUUCUGCGGAAGCAUGAUAAAGCUACCUAAACAAAGAGAGGGAGGGUCAGAGAGGACCCGAGGGUGAAGAAAAACCGGCAUACCCUAGCGGCACGAAGUUCGGCUUAGGUAUGAGAACACCCACACCUCCGUCCUCGUACUUUUGCAAAGUAUGGGGUAAGCUAUUCAAAAAAUUCGGAGAAAACUUCGAAAGAAUAAGAAAGUGAUUGGUUGGACCAAUUGCGCUUUCAACGUUUGAUCGAGAUGUCGCGAUGAUAUUUUGAUUACCUAUUUGUGGGGAAUCUGCCAUAGUUUCCGAGAAGGACAUGCACCACAUUUUUAGGGAAUCCGCCUGAUGUUGGAUAUUUGUUAAGGUACCAGGGGUACCCCAUUUCAAAAAAAAAAAAAAAGAGGUACCCUAGACAUUUACAAGGUAACAGUUUAGUCAAGCAUUCAUUUGCAGAAUAACAAGCAUGCAAAGUACAAGAGAACUCGAUGGCAUGGUAUCAUAACAAAAGAGAAGUCCCAAUAAUACAAAAUAUCUCGAGAAACCAAAAAGAAAGAAACAAGGUCCAAAUAGCAAAAUGUGGAUAGGUCCGAAAAAAAAAAAAAAACAAGAGCACAGUAAGAAGGCUACACCGAGGGGGGAACGACAUCCCCAACAUCCGUCUCCAGAGGGCGAUCAGUAGAGGACUCCGAGGUACCCGGAAUAUGAGCAGCCGAACUAGGGGCAUCCGAAGCAGGCAACGGCUGAAGCUGAUGGGGUACCCGAGGCGACCCGGAGGGGGUACCCGACCGUGCCUGGGAAGGCUUCUUCCUCUCUGCAAUUGUCUUCAGAAUCGUAGCCUUGUUGACAAAUUUCUGCACCCGGGGUACCUCCAACUCCGGAUCCACACUCCACACCUCCGUCAUGAUGAGUGAGAAUGCAUCCUCUGCCAUCGUCUUUUGCCGAGAUAGCAGAUCCCCGUUGGUGGCCCUCAACUCCUCACAGUCCUUCUCCACCUUAGCUUUCUCUCCCGACAGGCCAGCAAUGCGUUCUUGCAGAGUUUUAACUUCUCGAGCAAGCUGAUCCUCGUGAGACUGACGGCUUUGGAGCUCACCCCUUAACUUGUCGACCUCUGACUGGGCGGCAACGAGAGAGUCAAGGUCUGGAAGGCAGUGGCUGAGGAGAAAAGAUGCCUGCGGGUCAUAAAAGACACGUUAAAUAUAUACGUGUGGCAAUAGGAUCAAGUAAAAAAAAAUUUUUUUUUGAAGGGUACACCCGGGGUACCCCGGGAAAGCCUACCUCUUGGGUAGCCCUAAGUGCUUGACCAUAGCGUUGGCUCAAACUCAUCUUGUCAGUCUCCUCAGCAACCUCGGAGGUAACAUUUUCAGCGGAGUAGUAGAAACAGCGAGCCAAGUGCGAAACCUCCUUGUUGGAAGCCGGGUCUAGGUCAUUUUCGCGCAACUCCUCAGGGAAAGCGGAAACCAGCCCGAAUUUUCUCUUCUUCGAGCGAGGGGUACCCUUCGACCCGCUGUGGGAGGUACCCUGAGACUUCCCCUUCGGACCGGGAGCUCGAGGAGGUCGGGAGCCUUUCGGGGGUACCGCCGAAUCCUGAGAUCCGGAAGCACCGCCCACUACCGCCUGGAAAAAGGCGUCGAAAGCGUCACCCGUCGAUUCCAUGACUGCACCCAAUGCACAAAAGUUAUGUUAGCUGGACAAGUACUAAGUACUGCAAAAGUAAAAAAUAGGAAAUGGAAAGCGGGGACGCGAAACGAAGAAUGCAAUGCUAAUGGGGUACCCCAGUCCCAUAAGUAAUAAUAGGAUACCCCCCGACACCCAAAUCAUACAUGAGUUACCCCCAGGAGCAGGCGGAGGACUUCGGUCAAUCAGCCCCGCUCUCCACAAUCGGCUCUCAUCUAGCACAUCACUACCCCUCUGUGCACCUCGAAGCCUGUCCACAAACUUCUUCACCUCUCUCCCCACCUCCUGAACUGGGCAUGAUCCUUUAGCCCAUGUCACACCUGCGAAAGCAUAAAGAACUCAAGGUUAGCGAGACAUUCAGGCGAAAGAUUCCGAUAAAGAACCAUAAGUAAGGGAGAUACUUACAGUCUACAUUGAAGGAAUAAGGAACCUCCACGGGGUCGCCCUUCUCACCCAGAGUCUCUGCCCCCCACCUACCCUCAGCGACAAACCAUCCCUUUCGGUAACUCUUCUUCAAGGCGGGGUUCCCCUCAACGAUGUGGCCAUGAUCACCCUAGGGGGAGAAGUAAGCAAUGCCGGGACCCUUAGGUUUCUUGAAUUGGUAAAGGCCCCUCAACUCCCGAACAGAAAUGUCGCGCUUCACGACCUCCAACCAUAACACAUGUAAGCCCGUCAGUGUCCUCCACCCUGGAAGAGACAGCUGCCCAGGAUCUACCCCCAAAUAACUAAACAUUUUCAUAAAGAAUGGUUGGAGGGGCAGGCGGAGUCCUAGAUCGAAGAGGUCGAUAUGGAGAGCAAUCCCAUCAGACUGUGGACACUCGGGUCUCUCAUCCACAUGGGGUACCCUGAGCUGGACAGACGGAGGAAUAUUGUAUUUGGCUCUAAUUUGCUCUAAGUCCCCCAAAGUAGCCCUCUUAAUGCUUAGGGAAAAAGGGUUGCUAGAUUUUGAAGGUGUGGCAGGGGGAGAUUUAGGCGGCUGGUCCGAGGAACGAGCUGGAACCUUAGGCUUGGUUGACUUACCCUUCUUUCGAGGAUUGGGGGUAGGCCGUUUACUAGGAAAGCGUGGGCUGACACGAGGGGUACUCCUAGAGGGAGGGGGCUCAGAACGAGAAUUACAAUUCUUGGAGGAACUAGGAGGGGACCGAUCCCCCUCACUAAUGGAGAUGUGGGAAGGGGAAUCCGCAGGAGGGCUGUCAACCCUACUAGCCCCAACUUUACGUCGCUUCAUCACGGGUCCCGUGUGUUUCUUACCCAUCUACUUUCCCCCAACAAUACACCCAACGAUACACCCAACAACACAUCCACAAGCCCCCAACAACACAUCCAACAAGCCACAUGUUUUCCCAACAGCAACAUAUCCAUACCAAGCACUAUCCAUCACACAUCAACCACCAAAUGCAAACACCAACCAACAAAAAAAACAAAAACAACAAAAACAAAAAUAAAUUUUUCUCAGAGUAUGCAAAAUAGCGCCACUGUGAAUGCGCCAAAAGAAGAGAAACAAGGAGGGAUACCUAUGAUUCACCAAUUCGACAGAUCAGGAUUGACAAUCGCGGGGAGACGAAGCUGCAGGCAACCAAAAACAGUGGGUAAAAUAUGCAAGUAUAAAAAUAAAGAAUAAAGCUUAAAUAUAUGUACUUAUUUAUAAAUAAGUAAAUAAAUAAAAUGAAGAACGAAGAAGCUGCAAUAACCGGCGUCGGCUGUAAUGGCUGCAACCACCGAGAACCGACGUCGACCACCGCAUCCACCGAACCGACGCCGAUCGCCGCAGCUGCCGCCACCAAGAAGAACUGACGCUGGAAAAAUGCAAAGGAGGACGUCGGCCGAAAAAAAAAAAAACUGAGAAGCUGCAGCCGCUAAACUAACUCCGGAAACCACCAAACCGACACCGGCUGCCACGGCUGCAGCCACCGAACCGACGCCGGCCGCAACCACACCAAACCGACGCCGGAAAUCACAAAGAAAAACACAAGCCGAAACGAAAAAGAGAAAAGAAAAAAAGAGAAGAAAAAGAGAGAAGACAAGGGAAGGAAGAGAGAAAGCACCAAGGGAAAAAUGAAGAAACGAUGAAGGAGGGGUUACCGUGUGUAUCGCCGGACUGAGAUCUCGCCGUGAGCCGCCGGAAAUCGCCUUGAACCGACCAGAUCUGGAGCCCAAAACCGCCACUGCAGCAGCCGCGAUCCACGCCGGAAAACGUACUAGAUCAACGCCGGCCGAGAGAGAAAGAGAAAAAAGAAUGAAAGAAAAGGAAGAAGGAAAAGAGAGAAAAAGGAAGGAGAAACGUGAGAAAGAAAAGGGAGAAAGAAAAUGGGAAAGAAAGAAAACGGAAGAAGAAAGAAAUAAAAGAAAAAGAGUAAAGGGAGAAUAGAGCCUAGGGAAGAUGAACGAGCGUAAAUUUAUUAAUUUCGUUCUACUAAUUUAAGUUAAGUUUAUUGAGUAUUCCAGUUAUUUUAAGCUAAAAUGGACAUUUUCAUAAUUUUAUCACAUAAUCAAACGAAUAAGUGUAUAUUUUAAGAUGGUAAAGAUAGUCAAUAGGUAAACUUAAAGGAAAAACUAAUGGCAAGGUUGGUUUAAUGAGUUUUCAAAAUAUUGGUGGUGGAAUAACGAUAAUUAAUUUAUUUAGGUGUGCAAUUGAAUUUUGAUAUGUACUAGUGGUGCAAAAAAAUAAUAAAUUCAAGUUGAGUCAAAGGCAUGGUAAGAACGCAGACUCCCCAAAGCCCACGACAUAGAUUAUCUAAUGAUUUUUUUAAUUUAUAAAAUUAAAAAAAGAGUUAAUGUUGACUUCGUUUUACCCCAAAAAAAAAAAAAAGUAUGACACUAUUAGGCAUCAAUUUCAAAAUAACGCGGUUUGAUCAACUCCAAUUUAUGAUGUUAUUAUCAAAUGAUAAAUUUUUCUAAUUUUUAGAAGUCGUUUCUUAUCAAAUAAUCAGGGAUUGAAAUAAAUAGCAUAAAAUAACAAAAAUAAGAAAGUUAAGUUGAUGUCCACUGAUUUGUGUAAGUAAAAAGUUUGACUCUUAAAAAGACAUUAAUUUCAUGAGAGACAAUAACGCCAUUUUGAUCCUCUCUAUAAUUAAUGAUGUUAUUUUCAAAUAACAAAAUUAUCUAGCUUUUGGAAAUCUUGGAGAGAAACUAAUUUGGUCGGUUUCUUGAUUAAUGAUUUGAUGGUCAUCGAAUAAUGCAUGACUUGGAAAGAUCUUCCCCCGUUCUUCAAGUUAUUAUUUGACUUUGUUAGUAAAAGGCCUAUCAGAAAGGUUUUUAAAUUCUGGUCUUCUGAGAUUAAAUUAAGUCACAGUUUAAGUUAUCUCAAGAAUAUGGGUUUGGUCAAAUUUUUCUCAGUUAUCUCAAUAUUGUUGCUAAUUCAUUGGCUAAUCAAAGACACAGUUGCAAAAAUUCCUCUUGGAGAAAAUUGAGGAAAAUCUUCUUGAAGAUGGCUAAAUUAUAAAAAGAUAGUACAUGGUGGCCGGACGGAUUAUAAAUUAAGUAAAUAUAUCUAACUUCUUUAAAAUUAAAGCUUCAUAAGACAUAACUAAUGCUCUGUAUGAUUUUAUUAUUGGCUUCCGAAAUUGCACGAUAGGACAGCUGAAAGCAUUUUCCAUUUACUACUUCUUCGAAUUGACUGUUAGGAAAUUGGUAAGUGAAGCAGGAUCGCAACUAAAAUAAAAUUGGAAGAAAUAAAGAAUAAGCACAAAAGAGAAUACCAGAAAUAACAUAGUUCAGCUUUUAGCCAACGUCCACGGGCGAAAAUAGAAGGAAAUAUUUUAUUAGUGAAAUAAGGAUUACAAAUGUUGUAAUAUUUUGGCUCACUACCCAAAACCCGAAUACACCCAAUCUCUCACUCACUAAUUACACAAGAGCAUUAAAACUCUUAAUCUCUCACACAAUUCUUUCUCUUUUACAAAACAGAGAAGAGAAACUUAAGGAAAAAAUGGAAUGAAUUUGCUCAUUCUCUUCGUUUCUAUUUAUAGAGAAAGCUUUGGCACUAUUCAUCAAUUAUAUAUUAUUUUUUUCUUUAGACAGCACCUCCCAUUUUUUUUUCUUUCUUUCUUUCUUCUUUUUCUUCUUUCUCUUUUAUUUCCUUCAAUUUGAUUUUGGCUAGGCCACCACCAGCUUUGACAUUUCUCCCGCUUGGAGAUUUGAUUGAGAAUCAAUCAAUCCCCACACCAUCUUUUCUGCUUCGCCAUAAUCAUGUUACCUACGUUUCUGCUAGGCCACAAGAAGAUCUAGUCCAGACAAACUUAUCAGUAUUUAUCGGCUUAGUCAAAACAUCUGCUAGGUUCUCCUUCGUAUGGAUGUUCUGUAAAUCCACAUUUCCGUCUUCCACUACUUCUCGAACGAAGUGAUACUGAACUCCUAUGUGCUUUGUCCUGGAAUGAAAGGCUGGAUUCCUUGCAAUGUGUAAGGCACUCUGACUGUCACAAAACAUAGAAAUUUUCUCUUGUUUGUGCCCGAGCUCCUCCAAUAACCUUUGUAUCCAAAUAACUUCCUUACAAGCUUGUGUAGCUGUCAUGUACUCUACUUCUGUUGUAGAUAAAGCCACAACAGUCUGCAGUUUUGAAACCCAGCUUACAGCUGCUCCCGCAAAUGUAAACACAUAACCAGUAGUGGAUUUUCUUUUGCUCAAGGAUUUUCUUUUAUCAAGAUCUCCUGCAAAAUCUGAAUCCACAUAGCCCCUGACAGUAAAUUCUGAUCCUCCAUAACAUAAUGCAACAUCUAAGGUUCCUCUGAUGUAUCUCAGAAUUCUCUUCACAGCUAUCCAAUGUUCUCCACCCGGAUUUGCCAUGUAUCGACGGACUGCUCCCACUGCUUAUGCAAUGUCCAGUCUAGUACAUAUCAUAGCGAACAUCAAACUUCCCACUGCUGAUGCAUACAGUACUCGAGACAUUUCUUUCCUCUCCGCUUCAUUGCUAGAACACAUACUUGAAUAUAAUUUGAAAUUAACAAGAAGUGGGGUAGAAAUUGACUUACAAUCUUGCAUGUUGAAGCGCCGCAAGAUUUUCUUCAAGUAAUUCUUCUGCGAAAGCCAAAUUUUCCUGUUAUUUUUGUCUCGGUGAAUUUGCAUCCCUAUAAUCUUGUUUGCUGGUCCCAAGUCCUUCAUUUCAAACUCCCUAGCCAACUGUGCCUUCAAUUCUUGGACUCGAUCUUUGUUGGGGCCUGCUACCAACAUGUCAUCCACGUACAACAGUAAAAUAAUGAAAUCAUUAUCUUCAAACCUCUUAUAAUAUGCACAAUGAUCUGAACUGAGUCUAUUGUAUCCAAGGCUUAUAAUGAAGGAAUCAAAUCUCUCAUACCAAUAUCUCGGCGCCUGUUUGAGACCGUAUAGAGAUUUGUUCAACCUGCAAACCAAGUUCUCCUUUCUUUUUUUAUGCAAAACCUUCUGGUUGGAGCAUAUAUAUUUCUUCUUCAAGUUCUCCAUAAAGAAAUGCAGUUUUCACAUCUAACUGCUCUAGAUGUAGGUCAAAUAUAGCACACAUUGUCAACACUACUCUGACUAUUGUGAGUCGAACCACCGGUGAAAAUAUCUCGUUGAAAUCAAUACCUUCUUUCUGAGCAUAUCCUUUCACCACCAAUCUCGCACGAUACCGCUCCACUUGGUCAUUGCCAUCACGUUUGAUCUUGUAGACCCAUUUAUUUCCAAUGGCUUUUCUUCCACGUGGUAGUGGUACAAGUUCCCAUGUCUUGUUCUUGUGUAGAGCUUCAAUUUCUUCCUGCAUUGCUGUCAUCCACAAAGCAACAUCUGAGCUUUCUAAAGCUUCAUAGAAAGUUGAUGGCUCUCCAUCUUCUAUUAGAAGACAAUAUGCAACGUUGAUCUCUGUGACAUACUCUGAGUGCCACGUUGGUGGUCGUCUCUCACGAGUUGAGCGACGAAUUUCUUGAGCCUCGGACUCGACUAGUUCUUGUUCCUCGUGCUCUGGUGCUGCUUCAGAAGAAUCUGAAUCUUCUGGAUUAUUUUCGACAUAUACCGGCACAAUCCCUGACUUUUCUUUUACAGUGCUAUCACCUCCAUCUUUCAUUUGCAGUUGAUCUUCUACAAAAAUAACAUCUCUGCUGAUGACGAUCUUGUGGGCAGUGGGGUCUCACAGACGAUACCCCUUUACUCCAUCAGCAUAUCCCAAGAAGAUACAUCUUUUAGAUUUUGUAUCCAGCUUUGUUCUUUCUUGGGCAUUGUACAUCACGUACACAGGACAUCCAAAUACAUGUAGGUAGGAAUAAUCAGCUGGCUUUCCAGUCUACAUCUCCAUCGCUAUCUUCAGCCCAAUAACUGUAGAUGGCUAUCGAUUUACUAUAUAACAGGCCGUUUUGGUUGGUUCUGCCCAGAAUGAAUUGGGUAAAUCAGUAGUCUUCAACAUAGCUCUUAUUUUUUCUGUAAGAGUUUUGUUCAUCCGCUCCGCCACUCUGUUUUGUUGAGGAGUGUAUGCCACCGUGAACUGCCUCUAAAUAUCUUUUUGCUUACAGAAAGCAAGAAACUCACCGUCUCUAUACUCUCCAUCAUUAUCCGUCCUCAAGCACUUUAUCUUUUUACCAGAUUCAAGUUCCACCCGCGCUUUGUAUUCUUUAAACACUAGAAAUACAUCUAACUUUUUCUUAAUUGGAUACACCCAACAUGUUCUGGAAUAAUCAUCAAUGAAAGUCACCAUGUACUUUGCACAUCCCAUGGAUAUAUCCAGUGAUUCCCAAACAUCAGAAUGAAUCAAGUUUAGAAUGUAUUUACUUAUAGCAAUAGAUCUACUGAAUUUUAAUCUAUGCUGCUUACUUGUAACACAAUACUUGCAAAAUGGUAAACUUACCGAUUUGAGCCCCAGAAGCAAUUUUCGCUCAGAGAGAAUCUUCAAACCUUGUUAUGAUAUGUGGCCAAGUUUGAGAUGCCACAUCAUCGUUGACUCUUCUCCAUUUGAUGCGACACACGCAUCAGCCUCCUGUAGUGUUUCUUAUUUAAGCAUGAAUAGAUUAGCACCGAUCUUUUCUGCCUUCAUCAAUACAAGCGCUCCUUUAACAAUUUUCAUAAUUCCAUUCUCCACAUGAGUUUUGUACCCAUGACUAUCCAUUUGUCCCAAAGACAAUAGAUUUUUCUUCAAGCCGUUGACAUGUCGUACCUCCUCAAUUGUGCGAAUUGUACCAUCAAACAUUUUUAUUUUGAUAGUACCAGUACCAGCGAUCUCCAAGGCAUGAUCAUCUCCCAUAUAUACAAAUCCUCCUGAAAUAGGUUCAUAUGUGUGGAACCAUUCUCUCCGAGAGGUCAUGUGCCAGGUAGCUCCUGAGUCUAUAAGCCAGACAUCAGAUAGUCGUUUUCUGCCUUCUGAAAUAGUUGUUGCCUCGCUGUAGAGAAUUUCGCCAUCAUUUGAGGUACUUGCUACACACCCCUAAGCAUUUGAUGACUCAGGUUCUUUAACCUCUCUUAUCUUCUGGUUACUCCAACACUCCUUUUUGACGUGCCCUUUCUUGUCACAGUUAUAUCAUUUAACAUUCUUCUUACUUCUGGAUUUUAAUCUACCAUGAUUUUGACUCCCACUGAGGCCACAUUUCGUUGAUCUCCCUCUCGUCACCGAUAGCGCCUCUGCUUGCUGUGAACUUGCUUGUCUGUUUUCUUUAUUUUUCUGCCUGCUCUCCUCAUUUAAUACGGAGGCUGCAAAAUCAUCGAAAACUAUACUGUCCAUUGGAUUGUUGUUCGUCAGGUUGAUGAUGAGUUGAUCAUACGAAUCUGGUAGACUUUGAAGUAGAAGCUCUGCACGUUCAUUUUCCUCUAUAUUAUGACCGAACGUUGUGAGUUGUGAAAAUAGAGUCUUCAAGGUGUUGAUGUGGUCGGUCACCAUUGUAGAUUCCGCCAUUCGAAGAAUAUAGAGUUUUCUCUUCAAGAAGAUUUUGUUGUGUAGUGACUUGGCCUCGUACAAUUUUGUGAGAGUAUCCCAUAUUUCCUUUGUUGUACUUUUCUCUACCACACUGAAUAAUACUCCAUCUGCAAGUGCCAAGUGUAGAUCAGAAAUGGCGUUGCCAUCUAUCUCGUUCCACUUGUCAUCAGCUAUCUCCAUGGGCCUUUCUCCAAUUGCUGCCAAGCAAUUAUUUUUCCUCAAUACAACUUUUAUCUUCAUUUUCCACAACGAAAAAUUAUUUCCGUUAAACUUCUCAAUUUUAUACUUUGCCGCCAUUUUGUUGAUAAAUAUCGCACACAAGUUAGUGUACCACCUUGAAUAGUUGUGAGUAUGUGUGAGAAUUCACACCAGGAAAGUUCCCAGGAAAGACUGGAGGGGUCACAAUGGUCCCACUUAAAACCCAGACUCCUUAAGCUCUUAUCGCCUUUGUGACAGAACUUUCCUAGACAUGUACAAAAACCACACAGUUGUUUUACUCACACCACUAUUCCCUGCUUUGCAUCGCAAAAUUCUUGGACCGCUCCCACCGUUUCAUGUGAAUAGUACAGUAUACGUGAAUUGUACAGUAUAUGUGAAUAGUGUCAUAUACGUGAACAGUGCCAUAUACAUGAAUAGUACCCCCUUACGUGAACAGUACCAGACUUAAAAAAAAUACAACCAAUAGCUCUGAUACCACUGUUAGGAAAUUGGUGGGUGAAGCAGGACCGCAGCUAAAAUAAAAUUGGAAGAAAUAAAGAAUAAGCACAAAAAAGAAUACCAGAAAUUACGUGGUUCGGUUUUUAGCCUACGUCCACGGGCGAAAACAGAAGGAAAUAUUUUACUAGUGAAAUAAAGAUUACAAAUAUUAUAAUAUUUUGGCUCACUACCCAAAACCCCAAUAUACUCAAUCUCUCACUCACUAAUUACACAAGAGUAUUAAAACUCUUAAUCUCUCACACAAUUCUUUCUCUUUUACAAAACAGAGAAGAGAAACUUAAAGAAAAAAUGGAAUGAAUUUGCUCGUUCCCUUCGUUUAUAUUUAUAGAGAAAGUUUUGGCACUAUUCAUCAAUGAUAUAUUUUUUUUUCUUUAGACGGCACCUCCCAAUUUUUUUUCUUCUUUCUCUUUUGUUUCCUUCUUUUUUGUUUCCUUCUUUGGGCUGCUGCCAAAGCCAUGUUUAUUUCUUUGGGCGGCUGCCAAAGCCAAUUUGAUUUUGGCUAGGCCACCACCGGCUUUGACAUUGACUAGUAUCAUCUUCCUCGAUGGUACACUAGAACGCAUUCUCCAUUGCUAUUUAUUCAAAUGCACUAACCUGGGCUUCUUUUGCAUUGUGUUUAAACUAGUCCCAUUUUAAGGGGUUUUUUUUUUCUCCUCUCUAUUCUUUUCCCUAUUUCAGGUAAUAACAAGUGAAUUAGUUAUUCCGCCGUUGUUGUUCCUUUUGAUAUAUUCUUUCACAUGGGGUUGUUCAUUUUUCUUGUUUCUUGUUCUUUUUGGAACUUCCAUUGAAGCAAGUAAAGUCAUUUUACUUAUAAGCUGCUGCAAGCUGUUAAAAAAGAUGGCAAUUAAUUAGUUUCUCAUUUUCUUGUUGAUGAAGCCUGUAUAUGAAUAAAUUACGCGCUAGCUUGUCAUUUUGUUAUUAAAACCUUUAUAUGGCAUGUUCUGCUUUCUGUUUUCUAUUUUUUUUUUGUGAGAAAAUUUUCUAAAUACUUAAUUUUUCUUUUUCCCCUGAAUAUCUACAGAAUGAUUGCUAGAACAACGAUGGGCCAAUGGUUCAAUCUUUUAGUAUGUGCACUCUUAAUACUGAAAGCUCAAGCAUGCUUUAAUGUAUCAAUCACCUAUGUUGAAGAUGCUGUAGCGAAAGGAGCUGGUGGGGAUUAGUACAUAUUUAUAUUGAUGCUUCAUUUUGUGAUUUUCCGUUACUGCGUACUGUAGUUUGUUAGCUGUUUAAUAUGUUUUGCAGUCUGUUUGGAUGGCAGCCCACCUGCUUACCAUUUUGAUAAGGGGUUUGGUGCCGGGAUCAAUAAUUGGUUGGUGCACAUUGAUGUAAUGUCCUCCUCUAUGUAAAAACAUUUCUUAUAUUCACUGCAACUUUAAAUGAUAUGGAUGAAGAGUAAUCAGUCUUACAUAUUAUAGUCAUAAGAAUUCUGGUGAUGUUUACAUUUACCAUUCAUGCUUGUAUUCAUCAUAUACUUUUUUGUUGAUUCAAUUUGCCUUUGGCUUCGGGUUCUUAGGGAGGAGCAUGGUGUAACAAUGUCGCAGAUUGUUCUAACCGAAGGGAUUCCUCACAUGGUUCAUCUAAGUAUAUGGUGAAGGAAGCUAAUUUUACUGGGAUACUAAGUAAUGAGCAGAAAUUUAACCCAGGUAUGACCUUUUUGUGUCGCUUAUUGAUUUGAUUGAUGCAAAUCAAUAAAUUCCCCUUUCCAUUUCUAGACUUCUACGAUUGGAAUAGAGUCAAGGUUAGAUACUGCGAUGGGGCAUCGUUUACUGGAGACGUAGAGGCUGUCAAUCCAGUAAGUUAACUUUUGCCAAAAUUUUCUUAUAUACAUAUUCUUGGGUUCUCUCGUGUGAUAUUUAGUUAGUGAUUUGAUCAGGAAACUAACCUUCACUUCAGAGGAGCAAGGGUUUUUGAAGCUGUCAUGGAGGAUCUAUUGGCUAAAGGAAUGAAAAAUGCUCAAAAUGUAAGAUCAUUCUGUUUUUGUUUUUAAAAAUAUGUUCAUUAGAUUGAUAUGUUUGAUAACUCAUUCGCACUUAUGACAGGCUAUACUUACUGGUUGUUCCGCUGGGGGUUUGACUUCGAUUUUGCAUUGCGAUAACUUCCGAGCUCUCUUUCCCGUUGAUACUAGAGUAAAAUGCUUUGCAGAUGCUGGCUAUUUUGUGAAUGUGUAAGCUCCUGUUCUUUCAUCAACCAUGAUGUGGCAGUUGCUUCAGUUGUUUUUCUUUUCCGAAAUCUGAUUCCCUGGUGUAUUUUUCAAUAGGAAGGAUGUUUCUGGAGCAAGUCACAUUGAGGAGUUUUAUAAACAAGUGGUCGCAUUACAUGUACACACUCUGUCUCUCAUCCUCUUUCAUGCUUACCGACACAAAAUAAUGUUGUUACAUCUUGUGUAGGGAUCGGCUAAGCAUUUGCCAGCAUCCUGCACUUCGAGAUUAAGUCCAGGAUUGGUGAGUUCCACCAUUUUAAUGUUUCUACGUUCUAGUCUUCAUCCAUUCGUUUAUGGACUGACCGAUUCCUUUUAAAAUGACAGUGUUUCUUCCCACAAAACGUAGCAGGGCAAGUCAAGACACCGCUAUUUAUCAUCAACUCAGCUUAUGAUUCAUGGCAGGUUAGCAUAGUUCUUCAAUGUCUAAGAUCCAAUGACAGAAAAUGUGAUACAUAAGCUUAGUGCAAGAAGAUAAUUUUUUGUACUUAAGUGACAUAUCAAGUGAAGCUUGAUUCUUGGGCCUUCUUGCACAAGCAAAAAGAGACUGGUGGAAGAUUGGCACAUUUUUGAUAUGUUAUAUUCGAAGCCACUGAAUAAUUUCAAUAAAUUAUGUGCAAUUUCAAUCUGGUAAUAUUGUUACAAGCGGAAAAUGGCGUGCACAGAUAAGGAACAUUUUGGUUCCGGACAAUGCUGAUCCGAAAGGAACUUGGAGGCGCUGCAAGAAGGAUAUAAAAAUGUGCUCAUCUACUCAGCUGCAAACUAUGCAAGGUAAUUCCCCAAAGCCCCGGAUUACUGCUUUCCACAAAAGACCUUUUUCAUUUUAUUGUUGAUAAUUCAAAGUGUCAAUUCUCGUUGUAUACUUUUCAGGUUUUAGGGUGCAAUUCCUGAAUGCAUUGGCCGGACUUGGCAACUCUUCAUCCAGAGGAAUGCUUAUAGACUCUUGUUAUACUCACUGCCGAACCGUGUUUCAGGAGGCUUGGUUGAGUGCUGACUCUCCGGUGCUGGAUAAAACGGUACGAGUUAUGAUUUCAUCGUUUUGACUUGUUUCCUUUAACAUCUUGAAGUACCAUUGAUUCCCAUUUUUAAGGAUUGAAAAUAUGUUCUACGCAGCCUAUUGCAAAGGCAGUGGGAGACUGGUAUUACGACAGGAAUCCAUUCCAAAAGAUUGAUUGCCCUUACCCCUGCAACCCAUUGCCAGAGAGUUGCUUUUGAAUGGACCUAUUAAUGUAAUGUACACACACAUAAAAUUACAGACCUUGUGUCAAAGCAGAACAAAAUGUAAGAGUCAAGAUCAUUGAGUAGUCAUCAAUGAGCUUGACUGAGUAAGAAUAAAAUGGAUAAAGAGUAUAUGAUUGAUUGAUCAAGUCAAUGAAAUAAUUAAACAGAGGCAACCACCGCACUCAACUUAUGUGCUGGGUGUCUUCUAUCAUUUUCUUAUGUAAUUUAUUUUUCUUAUGUAAUUUAUUGUUGUAACUUCAGUGAAAUAAAUAUUCCAUUUCUUGUUGUUGGAUUGUUGGCAGUAGACGAUCAAUUAUUUAGGAAUCAUUUUGUUUAAUUUUAGUAAUGUCCUAAGACCA